rnacentral:lncRNA from 1 species
GCCCACUGGCUUGCCUCACUGUGGUUGGUGGUGGCGGUGACAGAGACUGCAGCAUGACCAGAGUGGCUUUUCUGGCUUUGCCCGCCCAGCUGCUCCAUGCCAGGAGGAGGAGGAGACACCUAGAGCCUGCAACACCACGGCUCGCCUCGCUACAGGUGGGUGGCAGUGACGGAGACUGCAGUGCACCAGAGCGGGAGAUGACUCAUCAGAAAAAGAAGAAAAAAGAGGUAUUUGGAAAUUGUGCAAAUUAAAGCAGCCCCUGAUGCCAAAGUCUACACAUUCCUGAGUGAGUCAGUUCUGGCCAGUUCUAGCUGGAUCAAGAGAGCUCUG